UACGUAGGGCGCAAGCGUUAUCCGGAAUUAUUGGGCGUAAAGAGCUCGUAGGCGGUUUGUCGCGUCUGCCGUGAAAGUCCGGGGCUCAACUCCGGAUCUGCGGUGGGUACGGGCAGACUAGAGUGAUGUAGGGGAGACUGGAAUUCCUGGUGUAGCGGUGAAAUGCGCAGAUAUCAGGAGGAACACCGAUGGCGAAGGCAGGUCUCUGGGCAUUAACUGACGCUGAGGAGCGAAAGCAUGGGGAGCGAACAGGAUA
rnacentral:rRNA from 1 species